AUGACGUAAUGAACAAAGUGCCACUUCCGGUUUGCUUCUGAUGGCGGACUAGCCAAAAACAAGAGGAAACGGUUUGAAAAUGUUUAAUUUCUUGGGAAAAUACAUGAAGAGGAAGACACAGAAACACCUGGUUUAAAACCGGGGCCAGGAUUUCCCUCCCGCAGCCUCUGAUGUCUUUCAUACUCCAGGCCGGCCGCUGCUCUGCACUACUCUCAUAUGGCGGUAACCGCUGAUAAUUGCGUCCCGACCGACGGCGGCGUCGCUGAAGUGUAGCACCCACCCUCCAGUUCCUUCAGGUGAAGGAUGCCCCACCACGAGAGGCUGAAGGUAAAACUCCAUCAUCAUGGCUCAUGGGGAAGGACUUCUGAAGGAAAGGGUGGAAAACUACCAGGUGGCAAGGACCGUUCCAGGUGCUCCUGACGACAGCAACUGGCGGGAAAACUGCACAAAGAGCAACGUGGAUACGCGCGAGCCACUGUAAGAAACCUCCAGACCCACAGGAGGAGUCACCACAAGACAGCAGCGGUAAGUGAAACAGCUGCAUGUAAGACACUGCCACACCUGGCUAGAGGAAGUUAUCAUUGCUGCACAACUAUCCAGAGCAUCGGGCCGUGAUCCUCCAGUGGAUACAACACAAAGAGACAUUAACAGCCCUACUUGUAGAAGGAAGGGAGUAUAAGGGUAUAUAAUGGUUAGUAACCAGCUCAGGUGGAAGUAAAACAACACAAACUAAUCUAAGCUAGAUGGAAAAAGCAUCCCUGGCUGACGAGGUGAAGAAGAAUUCUUUCUUCUACUGUAUCAGAUCAAAUACAACUCUUAUUAAGACAAUAUUUAGAGACUGCCUGAAACUAUUUGAAUAGAAAUGAUGGAUUAGUCAAUGUCAUGGUGACCCCAAUAUUCUAUAUAAAUAUCUGUUAAUAGGAGUAGUUGCACACUCGGCUUGAGACAUUGUUGAAGGUUGACUGUGACCAUUUGCAAACAAGAUAAUGAAACUGAAAAGACAUAUU